rnacentral:tRNA from 1 species
GCGGAUGUGGCCGAGUGGCUUAUGGCAGCGGUUUGCUAAACCGUCGAGGGGGUAACACCCCUCCGGAAGUUCGAAUCUUCCCGUUCGCG